rnacentral:rRNA from 1 species
UUCCAGACUCCUACGGGAGGCAGCAGUGGGGAAUAUUGCACAAUGGGGGAAACCCUGAUGCAGCGACGCCGCGUGAGCGAUGAAGUAUUUCGGUAUGUAAAGCUCUAUCAGCAGGGAAGAAAAUGACGGUACCUGACUAAGAAGCCCCGGCUAACUACGUGCCAGCAGCCGCGGUAAUACGUAGGGGGCAAGCGUUAUCCGGAUUUACUGGGUGUAAAGGGAGCGUAGACGGCUGUGCAAGCCAGAUGUGAAAGCCCGGGGCUCAACCCCGGGACUGCAUUUGGAACUGUGUGGCUGGAGUGUCGGAGAGGCAGGCGGAAUUCCUAGUGUAGCGGUGAAAUGCGUAGAUAUUAGGAGGAACACCAGUGGCGAAGGCGGCCUGCUGGACGAUGACUGACGUUGAGGCUCGAAAGCGUGGGGAGCAAACAGGAUUAGAUACCCCAGUAU